GUUGCGGCGGUUUCUGAUUCGCUUGGUGCAGGUCGGGAACUUUUUUCGUCGACGGCGUGUUUUCCACGUUGAAUUUGAAGUGUACGUCAAUCGUACGCUGUACGAAUACGUCGUCGUGUUUUUGGCGAAAAUCAGGUUCCCGCUUUGCAUCAACUGAAUCGGACACCACCGUGAAA
rnacentral:pre_miRNA from 1 species